rnacentral:rRNA from 1 species
GCUAAUCUGCGAUAAGCGUCGGUAAGGUGAUAUGAACCGUUAUAACCGGCGAUUUCCGAAUGGGGAAACCCAGUGUGUUUCGACACACUAUCAUUAACUGAAUCCAUAGGUUAAUGAGGCGAACCGGGGGAACUGAAACAUCUAAGUACCCCGAGGAAAAGAAAUCAACCGAGAUUCCCCCAGUAGCGGCGAGCGAACGGGGAGCAGCCCAGAGUCUGAAUCAGCUUGUGUGUUAGUGGAACGGUCUGGAAAGUCCGACGGUACAGGGUGAUAGUCCCGUACACCAAAAUGCACAGGCUGUGAACUCGAAGAGUAGGGCGGGACACGUGGUAUCCUGUCUGAAUAUGGGGGGACCAUCCUCCAAGGCUAAAUACUCCUGACUGACCGAUAGUGAACCAGUACCGUGAGGGAAAGGCGAAAAGAACCCCGGCGAGGGGAGUGAAAAAGAACCUGAAACCGUGUACGUACAAGCAGUGGGAGCACGCUUAGGCGUGUGACUGCGUACCUUUUGUAUAAUGGGUCAGCGACUUAUAUUCUGUAGCAAGGUUAACCGAAUAGGGGAGCCGAAGGGAAACCGAGUCUUAACUGGGCGUUAAGUUGCAGGGUAUAGACCCGAAACCCGGUGAUCUAGCCAUGGGCAGGUUGAAGGUUGGGUAACACUAACUGGAGGACCGAACCGACUAAUGUUGAAAAAUUAGCGGAUGACUUGUGGCUGGGGGUGAAAGGCCAAUCAAACCGGGAGAUAGCUGGUUCUCCCCGAAAGCUAUUUAGGUAGCGCCUCGUGAAUUCAUCUCCGGGGGUAGAGCACUGUUUCGGCAAGGGGGUCAUCCCGACUUACCAACCCGAUGCAAACUGCGAAUACCGGAGAAUGUUAUCACGGGAGACACACGGCGGGUGCUAACGUCCGUCGUGAAGAGGGAAACAACCCAGACCGCCAGCUAAGGUCCCAAAGUCAUGGUUAAGUGGGAAACGAUGUGGGAAGGCACAGACAGCCAGGAUGUUGGCUUAGAAGCAGCCAUCAUUUAAAGAAAGCGUAAUAGCUCACUGGUCGAGUCGGCCUGCGCGGAAGAUGUAACGGGGCUAAACCAUGCACCGAAGCUGCGGCAGCGACGCUUAUGCGUUGUUGGGUAGGGGAGCGUUCUGUAAGCCUGUGAAGGUGUGCUGUGAGGCAUGCUGGAGGUAUCAGAAGUGCGAAUGCUGACAUAAGUAACGAUAAAGCGGGUGAAAAGCCCGCUCGCCGGAAGACCAAGGGUUCCUGUCCAACGUUAAUCGGGGCAGGGUGAGUCGACCCCUAAGGCGAGGCCGAAAGGCGUAGUCGAUGGGAAACAGGUUAAUAUUCCUGUACUUGGUGUUACUGCGAAGGGGGGACGGAGAAGGCUAUGUUGGCCGGGCGACGGUUGUCCCGGUUUAAGCGUGUAGGCUGGUUUUCCAGGCAAAUCCGGAAAAUCAAGGCUGAGGCGUGAUGACGAGGCACUACGGUGCUGAAGCAACAAAUGCCCUGCUUCCAGGAAAAGCCUCUAAGCAUCAGGUAACAUCAAAUCGUACCCCAAACCGACACAGGUGGUCAGGUAGAGAAUACCAAGGCGCUUGAGAGAACUCGGGUGAAGGAACUAGGCAAAAUGGUGCCGUAACUUCGGGAGAAGGCACGCUGAUAUGUAGGUGAAGCGACUUGCUCGUGGAGCUGAAAUCAGUCGAAGAUACCAGCUGGCUGCAACUGUUUAUUAAAAACACAGCACUGUGCAAACACGAAAGUGGACGUAUACGGUGUGACGCCUGCCCGGUGCCGGAAGGUUAAUUGAUGGGGUCAGCGCAAGCGAAGCUCUUGAUCGAAGCCCCGGUAAACGGCGGCCGUAACUAUAACGGUCCUAAGGUAGCGAAAUUCCUUGUCGGGUAAGUUCCGACCUGCACGAAUGGCGUAAUGAUGGCCAGGCUGUCUCCACCCGAGACUCAGUGAAAUUGAACUCGCUGUGAAGAUGCAGUGUACCCGCGGCAAGACGGAAAGACCCCGUGAACCUUUACUAUAGCUUGACACUGAACAUUGAGCCUUGAUGUGUAGGAUAGGUGGGAGGCUUUGAAGUGUGGACGCCAGUCUGCAUGGAGCCGACCUUGAAAUACCACCCUUUAAUGUUUGAUGUUCUAACGUUGACCCGUAAUCCGGGUUGCGGACAGUGUCUGGUGGGUAGUUUGACUGGGGCGGUCUCCUCCUAAAGAGUAACGGAGGAGCACGAAGGUUGGCUAAUCCUGGUCGGACAUCAGGAGGUUAGUGCAAUGGCAUAAGCCAGCUUGACUGCGAGCGUGACGGCGCGAGCAGGUGCGAAAGCAGGUCAUAGUGAUCCGGUGGUUCUGAAUGGAAGGGCCAUCGCUCAACGGAUAAAAGGUACUCCGGGGAUAACAGGCUGAUACCGCCCAAGAGUUCAUAUCGACGGCGGUGUUUGGCACCUCGAUGUCGGCUCAUCACAUCCUGGGGCUGAAGUAGGUCCCAAGGGUAUGGCUGUUCGCCAUUUAAAGUGGUACGCGAGCUGGGUUUAGAACGUCGUGAGACAGUUCGGUCCCUAUCUGCCGUGGGCGCUGGAGAACUGAGGGGGGCUGCUCCUAGUACGAGAGGACCGGAGUGGACGCAUCACUGGUGUUCGGGUUGUCAUGCCAAUGGCACUGCCCGGUAGCUAAAUGCGGAAGAGAUAAGUGCUGAAAGCAUCUAAGCACGAAACUUGCCCCGAGAUGAGUUCUCCCUGACCCUUUAAGGGUCCUGAAGGAACGUUGAAGACGACGACGUUGAUAGGCCGGGUGUGUAAGCGCAGCGAUGCGUUGAGCUAACCGGUACUAAUGAACCGUGAGGCUUAACC